AUUGAACGCUGGCGGCAGGCCUAACACAUGCAAGUCGAACGGUAACAGGAAGCAGCUUGCUGCUUUGCUGACGAGUGGCGGACGGGUGAGUAAUGUCUGGGAAACUGCCUGAUGGAGGGGGAUAACUACUGGAAACGGUAGCUAAUACCGCAUAACGUCGCAAGACCAAAGAGGGGGACCUUCGGGCCUCUUGCCAUCGGAUGUGCCCAGAUGGGAUUAGCUAGUAGGUGGGGUAACGGCUCACCUAGGCGACGAUCCCUAGCUGGUCUGAGAGGAUGACCGGCCACACUGGAGCUGAGACACGGUCCAGACUCCUACGGGAGGCAGCAGUGGGGAAUAUUGCACAAUGGGCGCAAGCCUGAUGCAGCCAUGCCGCGUGUAUGAAGAAGGCCUUCGGGUUGUAAAGUACUUUCAGCGGGGAGGAAGGGAGUAAAGUUAAUACCUUUGCUCAUUGACGUUACCCGCAGAAGAAGCACCGGCUAACUCCGUG
rnacentral:rRNA from 1 species